UACGUAGGGGGCAAGCGUUGUCCGGAAUUAUUGGGCGUAAAGCGCGUGUAGGCGGUCCGGUAAGUCCGCUGUGAAAGUCGGGGGCUCAACCCUCGGAUGCCGGUGGAUACUGUCGGGCUCGAGUCCGGAAGAGGAGUGUGGAAUUCCUGGUGUAGCGGUGAAAUGCGCAGAUAUCAGGAGGAACACCAAUGGCGAAGGCAGCACUCUGGGACGUGACUGACGCUGAGACGCGAAAGCGUGGGGAGCAAACAGG
rnacentral:rRNA from 1 species